CCUGGUUGAUUCUGCCAGUAGUCAUAUGCUUGUCUCAAAGAUUAAGCCAUGCAUGUCUAAGUAUACGCAAAUUAUACUGUGAAACUGCGAAUGGCUCAUUAAAUCAGUUAUAGUUUAUUUGAUGUUUCUUGCUACAUGGAUAACUGUGGUAAUUCUAGAGCUAAUACAUGCGUAAAAAGCCCCGACUUCGGAAGGGGUGUAUUUAUUAGAUAAAAACCAUCCUCCUCGGAGUUUGGCGAUUCAUAAUAACUUCUCGAAUCGCACGGCCUUGUGCUGGCGAUGCUUCAUUCAAAUAUCUGCCCUAUCAACUGUCGAUGGUAGGAUAGAGGCCUACCAUGGUUGCAACGGGUAACGGGGAAUAAGGGUUCGAUUCCGGAGAGGGAGCCUGAGAAACGGCUACCACAUCCAAGGAAGGCAGCAGGCGCGCAAAUUACCCAAUCCCGACACGGGGAGGUAGUGACAAUAAAUAACAAUGCAGGGCCCUUUUGGGUCUUGUAAUUGGAAUGAGUACAAUUUAAAUCCCUUAACGAGGAACGAUUGGAGGCAAGUCUGGUGCCAGCAGCCGCGGUAAUUCCAGCUCCAAUAGCAUAUAUUAAAGUUCCCUCCGGGGCCUAAGUAAUUAUUUUUGUCAGUUUUAUUCACUUAGGAGGACUAAGGUCCAGAAGCGUUCACUUUAUCUUAAAUCUAACAAUGCAGAAACUUUUCCAUUCCUUUUUAGGAGUCCUUGAAGCGGUCCGGGGGCUUAGUACGGGGUAAAACCCAGAAGCCAAAGGAGAAAAACUGUCUUUUAUAAAUCACGGGGAAUUCUUUAGCUUGAGCCUUAACCCCUCAAGUUUCAUAAUGCCUCCAAAAAUUGCCAAUGCGACACAAGUCGCUUCUGAAGGAACUCCAGCGGAGACAACCUCGGACAGACCGGUUUCCAAGCCAGAGAGCCCGAUCAAAGCUGGGAGCCCUUCAAAUGUAAGAGGGAAUAAGAGAAAGCUGAGUGGGUUGGGAAACCCCAGCUUAAGAAAGGCAAGAACCAGUUGAUGCCGGAUUCAGAUUCAUCUACUUCCAGCUCCUCUGACUCUGAUGUCCCCCAAAUAAUUGAGCCUUCUAAAGAUAUAGAUCAGCUCUCAAAAUCGGCGAGCAGUCUGGAGGUGAGGGAUGCAGCAAUGGAGCCAGCGCCAGCUA
rnacentral:rRNA from 1 species